rnacentral:lncRNA from 1 species
GGAGAGCAGAGAGGGAGCGCGCCUUGGCUCGCUGGCCUUGGCUGCGGCUCCUCGGGAGAGCUGGGGCGCCCACGAGAGGAUCCCUCACCUGGGUCUCUCCUCAGGGAUGACAUCAUCCGUCCACCUCCUUGUCUUCAAGGACCACCUCCUCUCCAUGCCGAGCUGCUGCCAAGGGGCCUGCUGCCCAUCUACACCUCACGAGGGCACUAGGAGCACGGAUUCCUGGAUCCCACCAACAUACAAAGCAGCCACUCACAGACCCCCAGGACCAGGAUGGCAAAGGAUGAAGAGGACCGGAACUGACCUGCCAGCUGUCCCUCUUACCUAAAGACUUAAACCAAUGCCCUAGUGAGGGGGCAUUGGACAUUAAGCCCUGACUUUUGCUAUGCUCAUGCUUUGACUCUAUGAGUACUUUCCUAUAAGUCUUCGCUUGUGUUCACCUGCUAGCAAACUGGAGUGUUUCCCUCCCCAAGGGGGUGUCAGUCUUUGUCGACUGACUCUGUCAUCACCCUUAUGAUGUCCUGAAUGGAAGGAUCCCUUUGGGAAAUUCUCAGGAGGGGGACCUGGGCCAAGGGCUUGACCAGCAUCCUGCUGGCAACUCCAAGGCCCUGGGUGGGCUUCUGGAAUGAGCAUGCUACUGAAUCACCAAAGGCAUGCCCCACCUCUCUGGAGAUCUUCCUAUCCUUUUCUGGGGAAUGGGGUCAAUGGGAGCAACCUCCUAGGGUUGUUGUGAGAAUUAAAUGAGAUAAAAGAGGCCUCAGGCAGGAUCUGGCAUAGAGGAGGUGAUCAGCAAAUGUUUGUUGAAAAGGUUUGACAGGUCAGUCCCUUCCCACCCCUCUUGCUUGUCUUACUCGUCUUAUUUAUUCUCCAACAGCACUCCAGGCAGCCCUUGUCCACGGGCUCUCCUUGCAUCAGCCAAGCUUCUUGAAAGGCCUGUCUACACUUGCUGUCUUCCUUCCUCACCUCCAAUUUCCUCUUCAACCCACUGCUUCCUGACUCGCUCUACUCCGUGGAAGGGCACUCACAAAGGGCUAAUCUAGGGCCUUGUCGAAGGAAGAGGCUGCAGACGUUAAUGAGGUUAGCUGCUGGAUUCCAAUAUUCGUCGCAUAAGGAGCCUUCUUUGUCUGCGAAGGAAAAACACACUGAUUAUCAUAAUGAGGCACGUGGGCCGCGGCCCAGCUGGGUCGGCUGAAGAACUGCGGAUGGAAGCUGUGGAAGAGGCCCUGAUGGGGCCCACCAUCCCGGACCCGAGUCUUCUUCCUGGAGGGCCUCUCGUCUCCUUCCUGUUUUGGGCGGAAGCCAUCACCUGGAUUCCUACGUGGGAAGGGACCUCGAAUGUGCGACCCCAGCCCCUCUCCAGCUCGAAAUCCCUCCACAGCCACGGGGACGCCCUGCACCUAUUCCCACGGGACAGGCUGGACCCAGAGACUCUGGACCCGGGGCCUCCCCUUGAGUAGAGACCCGCCCUCUGACUGAUGGACGCCGCUGACCUGGGGUCAGACCCGAGGGCUGGACCCCUGCCCACCCCGCAGGAACCCUGAGGCCUAGGGGAGCUGUUGAGCCUUCAGUGUCUGCAUGUGGGAAGUGGGCUCGUUCACCUACCUCACAGGGCUGUUGUGAGGGGCGCUGUGAUGCGGUUCCAAAGCACAGGGCUUGGCGCACCCCACUGUGCU